GCUAAAGAAUGGGAGCCAAUUACCAGAUAUGGGAGAUUUGCCCUUCCCUUUAAGUUGUCAAAUUAACAGAGUGGGUUGUUUACAAUGUAAAUAACAAAAUAUGAAUCUAUCACAUGAGAAUAUGUUUCAGGUUAUCUUUUAACUUCUAAAGUCUGAACUUAAACUACGCUCUUGUACUAGUUCCUAUGUGUUUGUUUUGGAAAACUGGUAGGAUUUUUUUAAACUUGUCUGUCCACUCCCCCAUUUAUUUUAAGCAGAGAUAGAUAUGUAAUUGGAUUAAUCUGUGUUUUGGGGGCUGGGAAUGGGUUGUUUGAUUCUCAGGGGUACCCAGUUCGAAGUCAUUUUCUGGAGAACAUAUUGGAGAUGACUGGGUAUAGGCUAACGACUGAUAACCGAAUUAUGGCCAAGACAAGAUGUGGAAAAUGCAGAAACAAGUUAUUAGAAAGAGGAAAAGCCAAAUUGCCUCUGCUGUCGAGGAUACACUUGAAGCGUUUGAUCUCAGGGAGUAUAGUCUCCGCACUCGGGAUCCACUUUCCUGUUGGAAUCCUGAUUCAAUCGGCUUUAACCUCAUUGAGCAUGUACUUUGCCAUAUUUGCAGUUUUGGUCUUUGACUGGCUGGGAUGACAUAAACUCUUUGAAGGGUCAGCUCCAAGCUCAUUCACUCUUGGGUGAUCCAAAAAAAAAUUUGUUGCUCGGAUGUCAUGGUUCAAUGGACAGCACAGAGCAGCACAGAGCAGGUAACGUCGGUUACUGAUUUUUACUUUCCAUUUCGCUUGUCCUUUUGCUUUUCAUGCCUCCAGGGCUUUUCUUCAGGCUUUUAGGUGAUAAGUCUCCGUUCUCACAGCAGAAUUUACAGGGUGAAGGAAUGGAUCCUGAUGAAGAGACCCCCUCCUAUCCAGUGUAUUACUCUCUUUCUCUCCUUCUCUCUCCCUGCAAGUGUUGACGAAUAUUUGUCAAUUUACUUUGUGAUUGGGAACAUGAAAUUCAACUUCCAGAUGGACUUCAAGUCCCCAAACAAGCAGUAAAGAACAGUUAGAGAUAGCCAUCCAAGCUUGAGCGGUCUCAGCAAAUUUACAUCACAAAUCUUGAUGAAACACUGGGUGAUUCAGAUCCCCAACAUUCAAGAGUUUUGAUGGAAAAAAUUGCAGUAAGAGAGGCUGCGCAAAAGGCAAUGGAGACUCGAAAUACAUAUAUAUGAACUAUAUGACUGCAAUGAUGGAUGGAUAAUGAAAUAGAUAACACUCCUGCAGAUGGCAACGAAAAGAAAGCAUUCUGAGGAAGGACUUUCAGAAAAGGGUAAUGUGGUCUCUUGAAGCCGCAGUACCGUGUCAGGAUCGCGGUCUCUUGAAGCCGCAGUACCGUGUCAGGAUCGCGACUACAUGCUAAUUUUCAUAUGCCCAAACAGUUAGAACUCAUGUCUCUACAUUAUGACAAGACUUGGCUUAUAUGGUUGAAAUAGCUUUGGGAUAAAAGCAAUGAAGUUGCUUGGUUGGAACACUAGCUUGGUUAGUUAGUUUGAUUGGGGAGAAGGCCGGAGGCAAAAUAGCCUCAUUUGGUUGGAGCCUGGCUAUAGGUUUUCAAAAGAAGUUUUGUAUGGUCAGAGGUAAAAUAAACUACUUGGUUGAAAUAAG